AGCGCAGGCGGGAAGACAAGUUGGAAGUGAAAACCAUGGGCUCAACCCAUGAAUUGCUUUCAAAACUGUUUUUCUUGAGUAGUGCAGAGGUAGAUGGAAUUCCCGGUGUAGCGGUGGAAUGCGUAGAUAUCGGGAGGAACACCAGUGGCGAAGGCGGUCUACUGGGCACCAACUGACGCUGAGGCUCGAAGCGUGGGGAGCGAACA
rnacentral:rRNA from 1 species